GGGCGGGUGGCGGAACUGGCAGACGCGCACGGCUUAGGACCGUGUGCCGCAAGGCUUGGGGGUUCAAGUCCCCCCCCGCCCA
rnacentral:tRNA from 1 species